rnacentral:misc_RNA from 1 species
GCAGCCGCGGUAAUUCCAGCUCCAAUAGCGUAUAUUAAAGUUGUUGCAGUUAAAAAGCUCGUAGUUGAAUUUCGGGGUUAGUAGGUUGGUCAUGCCUCUGGUAUGUACUGGUCUCACUGAUUCCUCCUUCCUGAUGAGCCGUAAUGCCAUUAAUUUGGUGUUGCGGGGAAUUUGGACUGUUACUUUGAAAAAUUAGAGUGUUUAAAGCAAGCUAACGCUUGAAUACAUUAGCAUGGAAUAAUGAAAUAGGACGUUCGAUCCUAUUUUGUUGGUUUCUAGGAUUGACGUAAUGAUUAAUAGGGAUAGUUGGGGGCAUUAGUAUUCAAUUGUCAGAGGUGAAAUUCUUGGAUUUAUUGAAGACUAACUACUGCGAAAGCAUUUGCCAAGGAUGUUUUCAUUAAUCAAGAACGAAAGUUAGGGAUCGAAGACGAUCAGAUACCGUCGUAGUCUUAACCAUAAACUAUGCCGACUAGGGAUCGGAUGAUGUUUAAUUUUUUAAUGUACUCAUUCGGCGUCCGUU